CGCCUUUCCUGCUAUGGUUAUCUGGGGUCAAAGGGUCAAGUUCAGACCCUGGUCAUGCCCUGGGUGCCCAGCAGAGGGAGCUGCUGCAUGGGAGGAGGGCUUAGGGCAGAUCCUGAGGACCCAGGCACAGUGGCAGGGGAGAGAAGGGGGGGUGGGGGGGCAGGCAGAGCCAGGUCUGGGGGCCAAGAGGCACCUUGGGGAGCUGGCACUAGCUCUAGCCUCUCCUCUUCAGUCCCUCUGUCCCUGCCCAGGUGCAGAGAGGAGGAGAGAACAUGCUGGAAACAGAGCCCCCAACCCACAUGGAGGAGCCACCGUGCUCCAGCCCAGCUGGGGACAAAGGCAUCAUUGUGAGGCCAACAGACACCCCUUUGUCCAACUAGCAGGAGGCGAGGACCCCGUCAUAGUCUGACCACCCCCCUUCCCGAGGCCCCUGAACUAUUGCUCUACUACCUGAGGGAAAGGGGCCCCAGCAUCUGAGGGCAAGGGGAGGAAAUGAAGGAAGAAGAUGGGCAGGAUUGGAGGAGAGGGGGUUCAGAAGGGAAGAAGUAAACAGUUCCCAGUCCCCAGUUUCACCUGCACUUUGAGGUCACACAGCCAUCUUCCUCCCCACCAACAUGUAUCAGAACGAAGGGACAGAAGAAAAGAGACAGAGAUCCAGACUGAGGAUUGGUGGAGAGCCAGAAGCUCAGUUACCCGGACAAGAAAUGAAAAGCAGACUUCAUUGUUUCUUACUCUCUGGUGGGAGGAGAGGUGGAAAGAAGAAAUAAGGAAAGACCAAGGGUUGGAGAAGAAAAGACAGCUGGAACAAUUUAAUCCAGAUAAAAUCUGAAAUGUCCAAGUAACUU